GGCAGAUCUGUAGGCUGAGUAAAAACUUUUUUCUGACUCUGGCAGUUUCUCUUGAUAGUUAUCAGUCACUCCUGCCUAGGAAUCUCAUUUGUAGCCUUCAGUUUUACUUAUUCUUGGUGUGGCUAACACAGGUGUACAUGCUAAGUUACAGUAAAGUAACUAUUGUUUUUUUCUUUUAAAUUCCCAGGGAUGACAGUGCUUUGGUUAUAAUUGUUUUACUAGAUAGUUAAGAUCAAGAUGGUGAAAUUGAACUUGUUCCUACCUGUUGUCAAGAGUCAGCUGAGUUACCAUUAGGGUCAUUCUUAGGGAACUUCAGAACAGCUUCUUAGUUCUUUUAGUGCGGUCUGCUGGGUGUCAGUGUCCCUUGAUGAUAUGGCUUCCUUGGAAGCAUCGGGAUGUCUCCCUUCUCCAGUGACCCUCCUCUUUGCAGUAAGUGCACUGGCUGGCUUUUGGGGGGUUUUCAAGUGUCUCAGUGACUGGAGGUUAUGUGGCCCAGAGUUGCAAAGAUCUUGGAGAAGUUCCCUGGUUCCCUGGUUUUAAGCUGACUCAGAGGGCAAGAGCCAAAAAUAUUGGUGUUCUUGGCCCUGUUACUUUAACCUUAAUCUUUAAGCCUUGGUCUUAAACAUCCACGAAGCCCAUCUCACCAUUCUUAAAGUAACAGUGCUGGGCUUUAAUUUUAAUGCUAAUAAUUUCAUAGUCAUUUUACUCCUUUUAUUUAAUUGGGGUCUGUAUUAGUACUUUAAGUUAGCAUUAUAUACUAUCUGUCUGUAGUCGAUGGCCUAAUAUCUCAAAUUCACUUAGGUUGUUAUAUAUUUGUUCUUCUGUAAGUCACUAACAAAUAACAUUUAAAGUUUCCAAGGAAAAUUCAAAAUGAAAUUAAACGAGUAAAAACAUGUUGAGUUUGUACAUAAUCUUGACCCUUGGCUGAGUUAUACAUUAUAUCCCCUGUUUGAUAUCAUAGUAUUCUUUUGGGAGGGAGUACUGGGUAUUAAACUCAGGGGUACUCAACCACUGAGCCACAUCCCUAGCUCUAUCUUGUAUUUUACUAGAGACAGUAUUUCACUGAGUUGUUUAAUGCCUUGAUAAAUUGCUGCGGCUGACUUUGAACUUGCAAUCCUCCUGCCUCCACCUCCUGAGCCCCUGAGAUUACAGGUGUGCACGACCAUGUCAGGCCAAAACUCAGUGGUCAUAACAACAAAAAACAAUCUUGAACACAACUUUAAGUGAACUGGAG
rnacentral:lncRNA from 1 species